rnacentral:lncRNA from 1 species
AAUCUAGUCGUAUUUUUUGGAAAGAAUUGUCCAUGUGUUACUGUGUGUUCUAGUUGGUGUAGCUUGAUUAUUUUACAUUAACAAGUGGUAUCAGAGUGGGUAUCUGUGUUUGUUUAAACAGGUAAGAUCUUGCGGAGUAAGAUGGAUAGCUACCGUGAGAUGUUGGUGCAAUCAAAGGUGAUCCUGGAAAUCGGGAACUACAGC